rnacentral:rRNA from 1 species
UACGUAGGGGGCAAGCGUUGUCCGGAAUCAUUGGGCGUAAAGGGCUCGUAGGCGGUCCAUCGCGUCGGGAGUGAAAAGCUGGGGCUUAACCCCAGUCCUGCUUCCGAUACGGGUGGACUAGAGGUAGGCAGGGGAGAACGGAAUUCCUGGUGUAGCGGUGAAAUGCGCAGAUAUCGAGAGGAACACCUGCGGCGAAGGCGGGUUGCUGGGCCGACACUGACGCUGAUGCGCGAAAGCCAGGGGAGCGAACGGG